GACGUAGGUCGCAAGCGUUGUCCGGAUUUAUUGGGCGUAAAGAGCUCGUAGGCGGCCUGUCGCGUCGACCGUGAAAACCCGCAGCUCAACUGCGGGCUUGCGGUCGAUACGGGCAGGCUGGAGUUCGGUAGGGGAGACUGGAAUUCCUGGUGUAGCGGUGAAAUGCGCAGAUAUCAGGAGGAACACCAGUGGCGAAGGCGGGUCUCUGGACAGUUCCUGACGCUGAGGCACGAAGGUCAGGGGAGCAAACGGG
rnacentral:rRNA from 1 species